UUUUACUGUGAGCCUAGGACCUGGGUACAGGGAUCUUACUGUUGAUUCUGCACUGGCCACUUUAUUUGGCUGUGGAAAUUGCUUUGUCACACAAAGGGCUACUAGCACCAGCUUGGUAUCCUUCCUCCUGACUUGAUGCCCUGCUAAGUUCUGAUGGCCUCACAUCAAUUCCAGCUGUGUAGGGUCAAGGGCAUGUCAGCCAUUUUCUUUUCUCUGUUUCUUCAAAUACCCAUGGAAAAAAUAUACUUGAGCUCAAGUUGGUUCUAAGGAUUCCUCUUGCGAUAUCCACUAUCAUAAUUGCUGAUUUCAACUUAAGUGUUCUUCUGAAAGGAUGGGAGCAUGAAGGCUGGAAAUAGUUUUGGUUCUUCAUGAGUAUUUCAGAGGGUAAGCUUUGGCUGUGUAAUGAUUGAAACCUUUGAGUGCUGCUGUUGACUAAAGAACUUAGCUACUAUUUUGAAAUUAUUUUGCUUUGAUGGCUAUCUGUUUUCCUUAAUAAAAUAAAAACUUGCUUCUUGGCAUGCUGUUCUUCUUCCCAGCAUUGCCCCUUAUGUUGCUCUGCCAUGUAUGUGUUGGCCUUGGAUUGCUUUAUUUUCUUGCUGCAGGGCAAACAAGAUAAUGUUCUCUUCAGACAGCUUUCAGAGCACUGUUUUUAUACCCUCAGUGUAGGCUCUGGUCACUCUUCCCUCUCUUUAUGCACAGGACAUGAAGUGAUUCUGCUUAGACUGAGCAUGGAAAUAUUGUUGCUUGGUUUUUUACUUUAAAGGAAGUUCUGCAUCUGGAUCUGUGGGGGAAAAGUAAUCUGAACUAGCAUAGGAUAUGCUUGCUGUUAAAGUAAAUAUUUUUUUAAAAUCCAAAAGAGUUGAAUUGCUGUGUAGUACACCUGAUGAAUAUUUUAGAGAAAUAUAAUCUAUGAGUAUAUUCACCAUAUUGAUUGAAUGAUGUUUCCUGGUCUGAGUGAUGCUAGCAGAAUAAAUCCAGAACUUGCUCUUCCUUUGAGAAAUGAGAAAAUAUUUUUAAUUAGUACUAUUCUUUUUUAAACUCAACUUUGAAAAACUAGGAAGUCAAAUACUUGUAAUAUCAGGAGAUGUUUUGAAGUUAUCAGUGAGCAAGAUAUAUUUCAAGUCAUUUGACAACAGUAUGAGAUCUUCCUUCGUAUUUGCAUGUUUCUAAUUUUAAUGAUUAAAAAAAAAAAAUGCAGCACUUGGAGAAGAGUCUGUCCUAUAGAUAUUUCUGGAUUUCACUGAAAUGCUGUAAUGAAAAUGUAGUAGUGAAGUUGAAUAAACUAGUUGCAAUGGAAAUU
ensembl:lncRNA